GCAAGUCGAGCGGGAACUUCGGUUCUAGCGGCGGACGGGUGAGUAAUGCGUAGGAAGCUACCCGAUAGAGGGGGAUACCAGUUGGAAACGACUGUUAAUACCGCAUAAUGUCUACGGACCAAAGUGUGGGACCUUCGGGCCACAUGCUAUCGGAUGCGCCUACGUGGGAUUAGCUAGUUGGUGAGGUAAUGGCUCACCAAGGCGACGAUCCCUAGCUGGUUUGAGAGGAUGAUC
rnacentral:rRNA from 1 species